GUAGGUUUAGUUCAAUAAUAACAUUAGAUUGUGAAUUUAAAGUCAGGAGUUUAAUUCUCCUUACCUACC
rfam:Ornithorhynchus anatinus chromosome X1, whole genome shotgun sequence.